rnacentral:rRNA from 1 species
AACGAACGCUGGCGGCGUGGAUAAGACAUGCAAGUCGAACGGGACUUUUUCUGGUAGCAAUACCGGAAAAAGUCUAGUGGCGAACGGGUGCGUAACACGUGGACAAUCUGCCUUAAAGUGGGGGAUAGCUCGGCGAAAGCCGAAUUAAUACCGCAUGUGAUGAGGGAAGACAUCUUUCUGAAAUCAAAGCCGCCCAGCCUAUUCAGUUAAUUCCGAGUUUACCUCGCAGCGAUGCGACAGGUUAGACUCAACUUUUGCAGGAGAUAUGGAGUUGAUUGAAUAAGCUGGGUGGCGUCUUUUGAGGAGUCCGCGGCCUAUCAGCUUGUUGGUGAGGUAACGGCUCACCAAGGCUAUGACGGGUAGCUGGUCUGAGAGGACGACCAGUCACACUGGAACUGAGACACGGUCCAGACACCUACGGGUGGCAGCAGUCGAGUAAUUUUUCU